UACAUAGGGGGCAAGCGUUAUCCGGAAUUAUUGGGUGUAAAGGGUGCGUAGACGGAGAAACAAGUUGGUUGUGAAAUCCCUCGGCUCAACCGAGGAACUGCAACCAAAACUAUUUCCCUUGAGUGUCGGAGAGGAAAGUGGAAUUCCUAGUGUAGCGGUGAAAUGCGUAGAUAUUAGGAGGAACACCAGUGGCGAAGGCGACUUUCUGGACGAUAACUGACGUUGAGGCAUGAAAGUGUGGGGAGCAAACAGG
rnacentral:rRNA from 1 species